AGAGUUUGAUCCUGGCUCAGAACGAACGUUAGCGGCGCGCCUAACACAUGCAAGUCGCACGAGAAGGGGCUUCGGCCCUGGUAAAGUGGCGCACGGGUGAGUAACACGUGGGUAAUGUUCCCUCGGGCGGGGGAUAACCUUCCGAAAGGAGGGCUAAUACCGCAUAAGACCACGGUCUCGGAGACGAGACUGCGGUAAAA
rnacentral:rRNA from 1 species